rnacentral:lncRNA from 1 species
UUUUUUGCAACAGCUGAGCCUGGACCUCUUUGUAACACAGUAUAGUAAAUAUAAAAUGGUAGAGGAUGACUGCAAGGAAAACUUUCAUCUGAAGAAGUGGAUGGUUCCUUUUGGCUGGAAAGAGCACGUAAGAGGUGCAGUGGCCUCCCUGAGAUUGGUAUCAGCACUGGGUUGUCCUUUGCCAGUGUUUCUGAGGAUGAGAAUAAAUGAGCACUGUGACCUUUGUUUGCCUGAUUCCAUGUUGGACAUCAC